AGCUGCGAAACCCCACUAAAUAAAUAUGACCUUUUCCUCAGCCAACCAGACAAUAUUUUAAAGGCCCGGCAUGGUGAUGUUUCAAGUCUCAGCUCUGGAGAGGCUGAUGCAGAGAGAUCCUGGCUAGUCUGAACUGCAUGGUGAGCCCUGGUCGGUCUCAGAACAAACCAAACCAAAGCACCACCAGGAAGCUCAUGGAGCUUACCGCCUCAGGAUCAGGAAGUAUGAGUGAAAGUACGAAAUGACAGAGUUUCAGAGGACAUGGAAUGCUGAUGGCUGAUCUUUAACUAGUGUUGGAGAGUAGAGAAGAAACUGUGUGCAUUGGAGAAAUUGGUGAAGAGAUAUGUAAAUAAACUAAAUGGAAUAUUCCAAUGCUCUUUGUCUGGCAAAUUGAAGGCUUUAGAGUUCUCAGAAAUAAAUAAUUGAUCUUAUCAAAAAAAGAAGGAAGAAAAGAAAAAGAAAGAAAUUCUGUAUAACUUUCCCUUUAAAUGUAUAUGAUAUUCAAUGAAAGAAGCCUACAUGUAUUAUGAUAUUUAAAAUGACUUAGCUUUCUUCCGCUUUGAAGUAAGUUGAUUUGCAAGAAACUUAGGAUUUUUAAAGCUAAAUGUCAUUAUUAUUUUUCUCCAGUCUUCUAAUAAACAUGAUUUUCAGGUUGCUUUUAUUUCUCCUCCUCC
rnacentral:lncRNA from 1 species